rnacentral:rRNA from 1 species
CAAUAGCGUAUAUUAAAGUUGUUGCGGUUAAAAAGCUCGUAGUUGGAUUUCUGCUGAGAACGACCGGUCCGCCCUUUGGGUGUGUAUCUGGCUCUUUCUUGGCAUCUUCUUGGUGAACGUUGCUGCACUUGACUGUGUGGAGCGCUACCCAGGACUUUUACUUUGAGGAAAUUAGAGUGUUUCAAGCAGGCAUAUGCCUUGAAUACAUUAGCAUGGAAUAAUAAGAUAGGACCUCGGUUCUAUUUUGUUGGUUUCUAGAGCUGAGGUAAUGAUUAAUAGGGAUAGUUGGGGGCAUUCGUAUUUAACUGUCAGAGGUGAAAUUCUUGGAUUUGUUAGAGACGGACUACUGCGAAAGCAUUUGCCAAGGAUGUUUUCAUUGA